rnacentral:piRNA from 1 species
UGGAACAAGAAACGAGUAAUGGGGAAACUU